UUUCUUCUCCAGGCCAAGGGCAGAGUCUUCCAUUUACUUAGAGUUAUUUUUUGCUGAUUUUUCAGGCCCAGCAAGAAACUAUGAGGCAGAAGAGGACGAGGAAGAAGAGCAUGACUACAGCUAUAUUGAUGAAAACAUAAUUGAAAACAUAAGAAAAGCAUUUCAUGGCACCAGCAUUAGAAAUGAGCACACAGUCUCCAAAGGAAGAAGAGACAUCUGAAGGAAAAUAAUUCUGAAAUUAACUGGAAACAAGUAGGAAGCUGUGUCCUUGGCACAUCAAGAUUGACCACAACUGUAAGAAAAAGCUGCUCAUGAAAGUGUCCUUCUUGACUCAUGGAGAGCAUACAAGGCUGUAAUUUAGCUAUAAUAAUCCCCUGCAAAAUGAAACUGCUUACUUGUCCUAAAUAAGAAGUCAAACCAGCUAAUGUCUCAUGACCCUUUGAAGGGACAAAGCUCUUCUGUACAUAUUUAUUAGUGAAUUUAGAGAACAAUGCCAAGUCCAAUCCUUCAUUCUUAUUGCGCCUGAAAUUCCGGUUAUUUCCUGAACCUCUGUAGGGCAUAUGCAGAAGGAAAA
ensembl:lncRNA